rnacentral:misc_RNA from 1 species
UCAAACUUGGUCAUUUAGAGGAAGUAAAAGUCGUAACAAGGUUUCCGUAGGUGAACCUGCGGAAGGAUCAUUAAUAGAGCAAUGAACAGUCAGCGUCCCGGGAGAAAUCCUGGGGGCUACCCUCCUCGGAGGGUUUAGAGACGUCGGGCCUCUCGGAGAAGCCCGGUUCAGACCUCCACCCUUGAAUAAAUUACCUUUGUUGCUUUGGCAGGACGCCUCGUGCCAGCGGCUUCGGCUGCUGAGUGCCUGCCAGAGGACCACAACUCUUGAAAUACAUGAUGUCUGAGUACUAUAUAAUAGUUAAAACUUUCAACAACGGAUCUCUUGGUUCUGGCAUCGAUGAAGAACGCAGC